rnacentral:rRNA from 1 species
AUUGAACGCUGGCGGCAUGCCUUACACAUGCAAGUCGAACGGCAGCACGGGAGCAAUCCUGGUGGCGAGUGGCGAACGGGUGAGUAAUAUAUCGGAACGUGCCCAGUCGUGGGGAUAACGUAGCGAAAGCUACGCUAAUACCGCAUACGAUCUAUGGAUGAAAGCGGGGGAUCGCAAGACCUCGCGCGAUUGGAGCGGCCGAUAUCAGAUUAGGUAGUUGGUGAGGUAAAGGCUCACCAAGCCGACGAUCUGUAGCUGGUCUGAGAGGACGACCAGCCACACUGGGACUGAGACACGGCCCAGACUCCUACGGGAGGCAGCAGUGGGAAUUUUGGACAAUGGGCGCAAGCCUGAUCCAGCAAUGCCGCGUGCAGGAUGAAGGCCUUCGG